rnacentral:rRNA from 1 species
GACGAACGCUGGCGGCGUGCCUAAUACAUGCAAGUCGAACGCUUCUUUCCUCCCGAGUGCUUGCACUCAAUUGGAAAGAGGAGUGGCGGACGGGGGAGUAACACGUGGGUAACCUACCCAUCAGAGGGGGAUAACACUUGGAAACAGGUGCUAAUACCGCAUAACAGUUUAUGCCGCAUGGCAUAAGAGUGAAAGGCGCUUUCGGGUGUCGUUGAUGGAUGGACCCGCGGUGCAUUAGCUAGUUGGUGAGGUAACGGCUCACCAAGGCCACGAUGCAUAGCCGACCUGAGAGGGUGAUCGGCCACACUGGGACUGAGACACGGCCCAGACUCCUACGGGAGGCAGCAGUAGGGAAUCUUCGGCAAUGGACGAAAGUCUGACCGAGCAACGCCGCGUGAGUGAAGAAGGUCUUCGGAUCGUAAAACUCUGUUGUUAGAGAAGAACAAGGACGUUAGUAACUGAACGUCCCCUGACGGUAUCUAACCAGAAAGCCACGGCUAACUACGUG